CCUAGGGCUUAGCUAGGCGCCGAUAAUUAAGCUCAGAAUCAGCUUGGUUUGUACAGGAACAAUAAACGUUUUAUUUCAACAAAUAGACCUACCAUCUUGGCAGGAUGAAACCUUAUUCUUUGAUAGCUGUUUCUGUCUUCGUAGCCUUGACAUGUCUGAUGGAAAUCGUUGUUGGGGAGUGCCAUGUCAGAGGUAGUGUGUUCCAACAUAUGGAGACGACCGACCCAUUUGAAAUGUGUUGGUGUAUUUUCGACACAGAGGCCUGUGUUUGAGGGCACAAUAACUAUAUUAUAAGGGCUGAUAAAGCUUGGAAAGUGAUAAUAAAU